rnacentral:rRNA from 1 species
UACGAAGGGGGCUAGCGUUGCUCGGAAUUACUGGGCGUAAAGGGCGCGUAGGCGGCGCUGUUCGUCAGGCGUGAAAUUCCUGGGCUCAACCUGGGGACUGCGCUUGAUACGGCAGUGCUUGAGGAUGGAAGAGGCUCGCGGAAUUCCCAGUGUAGAGGUGAAAUUCGUAGAUAUUGGGAAGAACACCGGUGGCGAAGGCGGCGACCUGGUCCAUUUACUGACGCUGAGGCGCGAAAGCGUGGGGAGCAAACAGG